GCUCUCUGUUACCACACCGAGUCCUGUGUGGAUGCUAUGCUCGAGCGAGAGCUGGGUUUACUCAGAAAACAAACCAUAAAAGAGGUAUUUUGACACUAAAGUUAACUGCAAACGUUAUGGAAGUAGACGAGAAUCACUAGACAUCUUUGAACCACGUAGAAAUCGAUAUUUCGGAUUCUCUUCAGCGGGACUUUGAUCUUCGUCCGUCUGCCACUGUGCCUUGAUGUCCAUCCACGUCCACAUCUCCAUCUCCAUCACAUCGAACGUCUCGUUGGACAUUCAUUAUAAGGAUGUUCAGAGGGAGCUGAUGCCACAUCUGGUCCAGCCGAUGAAGGUCUUGAAGUUCUCUGACUGAAGAUGGUCCUCUCACUGGAUUUAAGGUUCAGAUGCUCUGUAACAAACUCCACCAAUGAGCCAACAGGGAAGCUUUAGGUUUAUUAAAUGCUGCUGUGAAGGUAUCGCUGUUUUUCUUUGUGAAUGCAACGUGCUCCAACUGAAACUUGAACUAGAACUUAGAAGUAAAUCCUUCCAUCUGAAAGGAUUUAGUUGCAUUCAUAAUCUCAUGACAUUCUAAUUUUUAUUCCAGUCUUGGUUGGAAAUAGAAUCUCUGUAUUGAUUCAGGUAAAAACUGAACUUCACAGCAUGCUGGAGCAAAACAAGUAGAUGAAAACUAUGAUGGUGUUGGAUUGUCAGAGCAUAAUGUUGCAGCUCAAAGCAGCUUUUCUUUCUCAGUUCAUUCUGACAUUCAGCUCUGAAUCUACAGCAGAUCCAGUUGAUGGUGAUCCAUGCUGUGGAAGUCUCACAUCUCCUCAUUUAAUUACACUGUUUAUUCACCAACACUUUAUUUAAUAAAAGUCCCAUCUAGUUUUUAUGAGGAAUGUGAUGUUUUAAUUUCUCUGUGAAUAACUGCAGUUUAAUGGAACGUCUGGAGUUGGAACAUCUGUCCUGAUAUUGAUCAUGAAGUACUGAUCAGAAUACUUCUGUUAGCAGUCAUCCCUGAAGUUUUACAUUAAAAUCUUUACUUUUGUUGUGAACUUUGUUAAGAAGCAGAAACUUUAGCGUUGCCAUGGAUACAUGAGUGUUAAAUUCUGUCCAUGUUUCAUUAUGGGAUGGAGUCCAGCAGAUGAGUUUGUUUUUACUGACAGCUACCAUUCAGUCUGAGAUAUUAAGAAUAAAUAAAUGUGCAUAAUGUGGAAAUGAACAGGUUUUAUUUUUAUUUAUUCCUACAGCCAGAAUGUGGAGAAAUUUAGUCUCACAAUCACAGACAAUAAAUAUUGUCUGAAAGUCGGGUUAUUGUUGUUUAUCAACACAAUACAAAAAGAUUCACAUUAGAAAUAUUCCAGUUAAGACUCUAGAAGAUCAUGAUUUAUGUAAAUUUACUGCAAUAAUAUGAAUGUUCAGGUUAAGACUGUGCAGUGAUAUUUAUUAUGCAAGUUUAGCUGAUUAAAGCUUACGAUUCUGUACGACAAUAGUAUUUAAAAUUACAUCAUAAUAUUUAGGGUCAGAUACAGUAUUGAGAUUAAGAAAUCAAAUAUUCUAUAAAAUGUAAACACACUGAACUAAUUUGGAUGUAUUUAAGUGAGACUCGACAAUAUUAUUCGACGCAAAUCUAUGAAUCAAAAUUUAAAUAAUUUUUACUCCAAACAUUGACUGGACUGAUUUAAAUAUUAAAAUCACUCCUUUCUAAGCCUCUGCUAUAUGUUCAAACCUGAGGCCUUAAAUAGAAACACACAAGUAUCUGAAGGAACUUCUGCAGAGUCCUGGUUCCAGAACGCGAUGAUAGAAUUAUAGACAAACUUUACCAGAAGCUGCCUGAGAGUUUACAGGUUUUUAUGUUGGGUUUCUUCAGUAGUUUAAUGAGUUAUCAGCAAAAAUCAGUUAUUCAUUGGAUAAACUUCAUUUCCUAAACAUCCAGAAUUGGAGCUCAUAUCUUUGGCAGCUGUAAAGUUUCUGCUUCUUCAAAGUUCACAACACAAUGAAUUAAUUCCUGAAACACACUCAUGGCUGGAGAGCGUUUGUGAUGCUGAAGCAGUGACCAGUUUUUCUGUUUCUUCUCUGGAGAUGCACGAUGAGGGACGUCUGCAGCGACUGAGAAGGAAUCUCACCACAUCCUGACAUGAGGAAAAAGACUUUAUUGAAGACAACGAUGAGGAAAAACUAUCAGACAGCAGACGGCAUGCAUUCAAGAGAGGAAGACCAUCAAGCAUCCACAUCAGCUGAUGGAGGUCCAAGAGUCUCACCAAACAACCUACAGAGUGAAGACCUCUAACCUGAUUGGACGGCCUCCUGUGCAGCCACAUAUGAGUACAAGAUACUUCAGAGCCGUUCUACCACGAGCCUGACAGGAAGAACUCCAACAGCUACUGAAUGUUCCUGUGGUCCCCUCAAGGCUACAGGAGGAGUCCUACAAGGAUGAGCCGGUCCAUCUGAUGGCGGCCAGUCGCUGGGGUUCAAAGCCGACACCGACUACAUGGACUUCUACUGGACCACAUGGAGGCCUUCAAACCGGACCAACGAGUUCAACGACUCCCCAACUCGUGGGUCUGAGGACGCCGCCGAGCCUCUGCCCAGCCGGCCGCGUGUCUGUGGGUGUUUGAGUGGUGGGAGGUUUGUGGAUGCAUGUGAACGUGUCUGUGUUAAAACAGCAGCUUUUGACUCAGUAACGCCAGUAAAAACCAAGAGCUCCUUUAUUUGUGACUUCCAUUAAAAAAAACUGAUGGAAAAAAAUUUGCUAGGGUUCUGACUGAUAACAGAUUAUUAAAUAAUGAAAAUAAUAGUUUAAAUAUUCCUUUAAACAAUCCUUUUAGUGAUAAAUGUGCAUAAUGUGGAGUAGCACACCAUACUAUGACGUUUUUACAGUGAAGGUUCUACUAUGGAACCAGUUUGACAUGUUCAGGUGUUCUUUGUGUGAAAACUCAGAGAUUUCAGGUAUCAGAAUGUGGUUUUCAACUUCUUUGUUAACUUUCUGCUUCAACUUUAAACUAAACUUACUUCACUAAGCCAGCCCUCUCGACUUCAGUAAGCUGUGUUCCUAUUGGCUGUCCAGGUGGCUGCUUGGUGUUAUCAGGAACACUAGUCCGGGUGCCGUGGGGUUGGACGUGGAUCCGACUGAUAAAGUUUUUUUUCUUUGCAGAUUCUGGUAGCCCAGAUGGUCCCAAUUGAGAAUCCACUUGAUGACAUCGCGUCACCUUUGGGCAUUUCGAGUAAUAUGCUAAUUAAGGCAGCCAUUACCAGAAAUCUUUUUUUGCCCAAUAUUGGCAGAAGUGAACAUGCUAGAGCAAUGAAAAUGGUGUCUAUACUCAGGUUUUCAAGAUCAAGGAAUCAUAUGAGACCAUUCCUAGGGAACUGAGAUGACUGCAUCGUAAUGUAUUCGAUAUGGCCGCCGUGGCGUAUCCGCUAACCAUUAUUUCAUGAUAUGGCAUGCUUUUACGACAUGUUGAAAAAAAAUGGCAUUUUUUUCGACAUAGUAUACUAUGACUUUUUUUGGAUAAAAUUCAUGAUGAUUUUUUUUCAAAGAAAACUGCUCUAUAGUGUUUAUCACGGCCUACUUUACAUUAUUUCAUUGUAUGGCAUGUUUUUACGACGUUGAAAAAAUGGCAUUUUUUUUGACAUACUAAACUAUGACGUUUUUGUCACAUUUUGGAAGACAUACUAAACUAUGACGUUUUUUUAAAUUUUUUGGACGACAUACUAAACUAUGACGUUUUUGGUGACAUUUUGGACGACAUUCUAAAUGAUGAUGUUUUUGUCACUUUUUGGACGACAUACUAAACUGACGUUUUUGGUGAGGUUUUGGACGACAUACUAAACUAUGACGUUUUUGUCACAUUUUGGACGACAUACUAAACUAUGAUGUUUUUGUCACAUUUUGGACGACAUACUAAACUGACGUUUUUGGUGACAUUUUGGAUGACAUACUAAACUAUGACAUUUUUGGUGACAUUUUGGACGACAUACUAAACUACGACGAUUUUGUCACAUUUUGGACAACAUACUAAACUAUGACGUUUUUGUCACAUUUUGGACGACAUACUAAACUGACGUUUUUGGUGACAUUUUGGAUGACAUACUAAACUAUGACAUUUUUGGUGACAUUUUGGACGACAUACUAAACUACGACGAUUUUGUCACAUUUUGAACAACAAACUAAACUAUGACGGUUUUGUCACAUUUUGGACGACAUAGUAAACUAUGAUGUUUUGUCAUUUUUUCGAUGACAUACUAAACUAUGACGUUUUCGUCAUUUUUUGGACGACAUACUAAACUAUGAUGUUUUUGUCACAUUUUGGACGACAUACCAAACGAUGACGUUUUUCUCACAUUUGGGACGACAUACUAAACUAUGACGUUUUUUUCACAUUUUGGACGACAUACUAAACUAUGAUGUUUUUGUCACAUUUUGGACAACAUACUAAACUAUGACGUUUUUGGUGACAUUUUGGACGACAUACUAAACUAUAACCUUUUUGUCAUUUUUUCGAUGACAUACUAAACUAUGAUGUUUUUGUCACAUUUUGGACGACAUACUAAACUAUGAUGUUUUUGUCGCUUUUGGCACGACAUACUAAACUACGACGUUUUUGGUGACAUUUUGGAUGACGUACUAAACUGACGUUUUUGUCACAUUUUGGACGACAUACUAAACUACGACGAUUUUGUCACAUUUUGGACAACAUACUAAACUAUGACGUUUUUGUCACAUUUUGGACGACAUACUAAACUGACGUUUUUGGUGACAUUUUGGAUGACAUACUAAACUAUGACAUUUUUGGUGACAUUUUGGACGACAUACUAAACUACGACGAUUUUGUCACAUUUUGAACAACAAACUAAACUAUGACGUUUUUGUCACAUUUUGGACGACAUACUAAACUGACGUUUUUGGUGACAUUUUGGACGACAUACUAAACUAUGACAUUUUUGGUGACAUUUUGGACGACAUACUAAACUACGACGAUUUUGUCACAUUUUGAACAACAAACUAAACUAUGACGGUUUUGUCACAUUUUGGACGACAUAGUAAACUAUGAUGUUUUGUCAUUUUUUCGAUGACAUACUAAACUAUGACGUUUUCGUCAUUUUUUGGACGACAUACUAAACUAUGAUGUUUUUGUCACAUUUUGGACGACAUACCAAACGAUGACGUUUUUCUCACAUUUGGGACGACAUACUAAACUAUGACGUUUUUUUCACAUUUUGGACGACAUACUAAACUAUGAUGUUUUUGUCACAUUUUGGACAACAUACUAAACUAUGACGUUUUUGGUGACAUUUUGGACGACAUACUAAACUAUAACCUUUUUGUCAUUUUUUCGAUGACAUACUAAACUAUGAUGUUUUUGUCACAUUUUGGACGACAUACUAAACUAUGAUGUUUUUGUCGCUUUUGGCACGACAUACUAAACUACGACGUUUUUGGUGACAUUUUGGAUGACGUACUAAACUGACGUUUUUGUCACAUUUUGGACGACAUACUAAACUAUGACGUUUUUGUCACAUUUUGGACGACAUACUAAUCUAUGACGUUUGUGUCACAUUUUGGAUGACAUACUAAUCUAUGACGUUUUUGUCACAUUUGGGACGACAUACGAAACUGACGUUUUUGGUGACAUGUUGGACGACACUAUGACGUUUUUGUCACAUUUGGGAUGACAUACUAAACUAUGACGUUUUUGUCACAUUUGGGACGACAUACUAAACUAUGACGUUUUUGUCACAUUUUGGACGACAUACUAAACUAUGAUGUUUUUGUCACAUUUUGGACGACAUACUAAACUAUGACGUUUUUGUCACAUUUGGGACGACAUACUAAACUAUGACGUUUUUGUCACAUUUGGGACGACAUAUUAAACUAUGAUUUUUUGUCACAUUUUGGACGACAUACUAAACUAUGAUGUUUUUGUCACAUUUUGGACGACAUACUAAACUAUGACGUUUUUGUCACAUUUGGGACGACAUACUAAACAAUGAUUUUUUUUGUCACAUUUUGGACGACAUACUAAACUACGACGUUUUUGGUGACAUUUUGGAUGACGUACUAAACUAUGACGUUUUUGGUGACAUUUUGGACGACAUACUAAACUAUGACGUUUUUGGUGACAUUUUGGACGACAUACUAAACUAUGACGUUUUUGUCACAUUUGGGACGACAUACUAAACUAUGAUGUUUUUGUCACAUUUUGGACGACAUACCAAACUAUGAUGUUUUUGUCACAUUUUGGACGACAUACCAAACUAGGAUGUUUUUGUCACAUUUUGGACGACAUACCAAACUAUGACGUUUUUGUCACAUUUUGGACGACAUACUAAUCUAUGACGUUUUUGUCACAUUUUGGACGACAUACUAAACUGUGACGUUUUUGGUGACAUUUUGGACGACAUACUAAACUAUGACGAUUUAGUCACAUUUUGGACGACAUACUAAACUAUGACGUUUUCGUCACAUUUUGGACGACAUACUAAACUAUGACGAUUUUGUCACAUUUUGGACGACAUACUAAACUAUGAUGUUUUGGUCACAUUUUGGACGACAUAUUAAACUAUGACGUUUUUGGUGACAUUUUGGACGACAUACUAAACUAUGACGUUUUUGUCACAUUUUGGACGACAUACCAAACUAUGACGUUUUUGGUGACAUUUUGGACGACAUACUAAACUAUGACGUUUUUGUCACUUUUUGGACGACAUACUAAACUAUGACGUUUUUGGUGACACUUUGGACGACAUACUAAACUAUGACGUUUUUGUCACAUUUUGGACGACAUACUAAACUAUGAUGUUUUUACCUCAUUUGUGACAAAAUGUGAAAUAUGAUGUUUUAAUGUUCACAGUGGAUGUCAGAGGAGCAAGAGGCCAUGUUGCAAGAAGAGGAUGUGGGCGACCCAGACCACAUCCAGAACCAGAACCAGAACCUGGACCUGCUCAUGUACCUGAAUUUUGAAAACAAAAUUCAAAAUUUGACAAUAAAGUGCGCUUUUGACACAA